rnacentral:rRNA from 1 species
AAGAAGCACCGGCUAACUACGUGCCAGCAGCCGCGGUAAUACGUAGGGUGCGAGCGUUAAUCGGAAUUACUGGGCGUAAAGCGUGCGCAGGCGGUUUUUUAAGCCAGAUGUGAAAUCCCCGGGCUUAACCUGGGAACUGCAUUUGGAACUGGAAGGCUAGAGUGUAGCAGAGGGGGGUAGAAUUCCACGUGUAGCAGUGAAAUGCGUAGAUAUGUGGAGGAAUACCGAUGGCGAAGGCAGCCCCCUGGGUUAACACUGACGCUCAUGCACGAAAGCGUGGGGAGCAA